rnacentral:rRNA from 1 species
CCUACGGGAGGCAGCAGUGGGGGAUAUUGCACAAUGGGGGGAACCCUGAUGCAGCGACGCCGCGUGGGUGAAGGAGCGUUUCGGCACGUAAAGCCCUAUCGGCAGGGAAGAAGAUGACGGUACCUGACCAAGAAGCCCCGGCUAACUACGUGCCAGCAGCCGCGGUAAUACGUAGGAGGCAAGCGUUAUCCGGAUUUACUGGGUGUAAAGGGAGCGCAGACGGCAAGGCAAGCCCGGAGUGAAAGCCCCGGGCCGACACACGGGACUGCUGUGGGAACCGCGUGGCUGGAGUACAGGAGAGGUAAGCGGAAUUACUAGGGUAGCGGUGAAAUGCGUAGAUAUUAGGAGGAACACCAGUGGCGAAGGCGGCCUGCUGGACUGUGACUGACGUUGAGGCCCGAAGGCGUGGGGAGCAAACAGGAUUAGAUACCCGGGUAGUC